AUGUUCACGUUGCCUCUGACAGCGGACCCGCUUGACAACCUUGCUCUGAUCGAGAUUCAGCCGCACCGUCAUCGAUCAUCUGUCCUCAAGACCCGUGCACAGCCGUUGAUCGAAGAGCCGCCACACUUGCCAUCAUCAUCAUCGCCGAUGAAGAUGACCACGAAUCACCCCCGAUACAGCCCAUGUUUCUAUGUUUCAAACCAUCACGAAAUCGGCGCCCUCCACGUAAGCUAG